GGUGGAGAGUUCCAAAGGGAUCGCAUUGAUCUAAUUCUUGUAGAUGCCUGAACUUGCAAUCUUGAAUCUUGCAUGCAAUUCCUGGAUUUAGGUUUGCUUUAAGGGGUUCAGUUAUUGGAUCAUGCGAUCCCUUAGGAACUUUCCAUCA
rnacentral:tRNA from 11 species